CCUACGGGUGGCAGCAGUGAGGAAUAUUGGUCAAUGGCCGGAAGGCUGAACCAGCCAUGCCGCGUGAAGGUCAGUGCCCUAUGGGCGUUAAACUUCUUUUGUGCGGGAGCAAUAAUGGUCACGUGUGGCCAGACGAGAGUACCGUACGAAUAAGCAUCGGCUAACUCCGUGCCAGCAGCCGCGGUAAUACGGGGGAUGCAAGCGGUAUCCGGAGUUUAUGGGGUUAAAGGGUGCGUAGGCUGGGAGGUAAGUCAGCGGUGAAAUGCCCCCGCUCAACGGGGUGAAGUGCCAUUGAUACUGCCUUGCUUGAAUGCGGAUGCCGUGGGAGGAAUGUGUGGUGUAGCGGUGAAAUGCAUAGAUAUCACACAGAACACCGAUUGCGAAGGCAUCUCACGAAUCCGUGAUUGACGCUGAUGCACGAAAGCGUGGGUAUCAAACAGGAUUAGAUACCCGGGUAGUC
rnacentral:rRNA from 1 species